rnacentral:lncRNA from 1 species
ACAAUGCUGGGCGCGCGGACCUUACGGAAAAAAGCUGGAGGCUCCUGGAGGAGCGUUAAGAAAUGCAGUUCCGGGGCUCUUAAGGACGUGGAGGGGCUUUGCUGACUCCUAAACUGCAAGUAACCAGAUUUUCCCGGAGAGCAGUCUAGGACAAGUCUGAGAAAUAUUUCAGAGACCUGUCGUUUCAGAUUCUCUGAAGCACAGCAAGUCCCGAAAGGAAGAACAUCAGAAGCGACAUGGCUGACCAUAAUGAACUGGUCCUCCAUUCAUAGCGGUCAGCUCUUUUGUGCUUGUCAAGUACACACAUACUGAGGCUCUGGAGACUUUUUUUUGAUCGUUAGUGUGCUUCUGUUGGGACAAGAAAGAAAAGACCCACACAGGAUGUGAUGGAGAGUUGAAGGAGGAAUAUCUUUCUGUCGACGAAAAGGGUGGAACUUUGUGAAAUAGUUGAAGAGAUUUAUUCUGAGACAAAUAUGAGUGACUAAUGGCCCAUGACACGGCUCCAAGAUAUCCUAAGAACAUAUGCCCAGGGUGGCCCAUCUACAGCUUGGUUUUAACAAUUUAGGAAGACGUAAGACAUCAAUCAAUACAUGUAAAAUGUACAUUGGAUUCCUCUGGAAAGGCGCAACUGGAAGGGAGGGGCGGGGCUUCCAGGUCAGGUGGGUUCAAAGAUUUUCCGAUUGGCAAUUGGUUGAAAGAGUUUGUAUCUAAAGACCUGGAAUCAGUAGAAAUGGUUGUCUGGGUUAAGGGGUUGUGGGCCGGGCGUGGUAUCUCACGCCUGUAAUCCCAGCACUUUGGGAGGCCGAGGUGGGCGGAUCACCUGAGGUUGGGAGUUCGAGACCAGCCUGACCAACAUGUAGAAACCCCAUCUCUACUAAAAAUACAAAAUUAGACGGGCAUGGUGGCACAUGCCUGUAAUGCCAGCUACUCGGGAGGCUGAGGCAGGAGAAUCGCUUGAACCCGGGAGGCGGAGGUUACGGUGAGCCGAGAUCUCGCCAUUGUACUCCAGCCCGUGCAACAAGAGCGAAACUCCGUCUCAAAAACAAAAAAAGACAAGGGGUUGUGAAGACCAAGGUUAUAUCAUGCAGAUGAAGCCUCCAGGUAGUCUUAUAAGGCCUUAUGAUAAGGCCUCAGCUCCUGAGCUAAAGCUAUCUUCCCACCUCAGCCUCUAGAGCAGCUGGGACUGUAGGUACAGGACACCGUCCCUGGCUUUAUUCAGCUUUUUACAAUGCACUACAAAAAGUCGGCAUUUAGAGCUAUUUUUCUCUCACUGCAAUUGAGUAGCAGUGAGAGAAAAAUUGAGUAGCAAUAGUAUUGCCAUCAGGUGGUGGCAAUACUACCUGAAAACCAUGCCCCCAACAAAUGAAGAUUUGGAUAAUGCCUUAUGGUCUCUUCUGCAGGAUUAGUGAAGGAAGAACAAAGAAAAGACCAAAAAUUAAAACCCAUUCUCUUUAUAUUCAGAAAAGGAAAGGGCUAUUUUUUGGCCAAAGCGUUACAAUUUAGUUUGCCAACCAGUUUAAAAAAAAAAAAAAAAGGAAAAAUUAACUCUGCCCAACUGAAGGUCUGGCAAAAACAAACCUUUGAAAGGGUUGUGGGAAAUUAAUGAAUAUUAAACUAAUUUUCAACAUAACCAGUUAAAAAUAAGAAAUCCCACUAACGUGGAUAGUUCCUUAUUUAGGUGUGAGAAAUUUGCUAUACAAAUGGACAACGGCUACACCAAAUAUAAAAAUUGACUCUGACCCAUAAUCUACACCAACCCAUUCAGAAAUCUAAUGUGGUAUCUACAGUAACCACUCCCAAGUCAGAAUACUAUGUCUAGCAACAAGGCCAGGAAGCCAGACAACAUCCCACAUAACAACUCGCUUAAAAUGGCUAAGACAUGACUAAGAACUGACAGCUUUCUAAUUGUUGCCCAUAUGUUCAACUUAGGACCAACUGGAGAAAGUCAGUGCAUCACUAGCCAAUCACAUAGGAUGUCAACCUUCUAAAUAACCCCUUCACACACACACACACACACACACACACACACACACACACACACUCCUCAAGACUAUAGCCUCCAGUCAUGGCAUACCUAAUACUUUACCUUUUAUCUACUAUGAAGCUUUUUACACCUCUGCUUGCCUUUCAAGCUCUGCUGAGUGCAAGAGAUUGUGGAUGACUCCUUUACUACGGUGUGGUCUGAUUUAAUAGGCUAUGUUUGUUCUCAUUUGGGUCUUCAUUUAUUUCCAAGUUGUCUGUUUGCAGUCCAUGAAUGCUACCAUUAAGCAUACUUCUUACUAAUGAAGGUGCAGUGAACAAAGGAUUGAUAUAAUUAGAUGUGACCAUUGUAGAAAUUAUGUUACAAUGUAUCAUACUUACAGAGGUCCCAGUGAAAUAACGUCUAACCUGUUCAUCACCAUGGGCCAUAGUCAUCAAACAGGUAUAGUAACCACAGAGGUCCUUUAUGCUUUGCUCUUCACACCUUGUCAAAUCCAUGAUGACAUGUUAAGUUAGCAACAAGUUUGAACACUACUGUCUUUGCACUGGGUUUCUUGGCUAUUUAGACUCUGUUUAGUCCCCCCCACCUUUUUUUUUUUUUUUUUUUUUUUAAGACAGAGUCUCACUCUGUUGCCCAGGCUGCAGUGCAAUGGCAGGAUCUCAGCUCACUGCAACCUCCACCUCCCAGGUUCAAGCAAUUCUCCUGCCUCAGCCUCCCGAGUAGCUGGGACUACAGGCUCGUGCCACCACACCUGGCUAAUUUUGUAUUUUUAGUAGAGACAUUGGCCAGGCUGGUUUCGAACUCCUGACCUCAGGUGAUCUGCCUGCCUCAGACGCCCAAAGUGCUAGGAUUAUAGGUGUGAGCCACCGCGCCCCGCCUCCUUUUUUUUUUUAAUUGGCUCCCGUGACAUUGCCAUCCUUGAUAGUAUCACACCAUUUCUUUUCAUCUCUUUUUGCUAUCUUAUAUGUAACAGUUUAGUGAUGUACUUUCUUAAAGCAUUGUCAUGAAGAGGAUAAUAAUAGGGUAAAACUCAAGCAUAGGCUGGGCGCGGUGGCUCAUGCCUGUAAUCCCAGCCUUUUGGGAGGCCGAGGCAGGCAGAUCACCUGAGGUCCGGAGUUCGAGAUCAGCCUGACCAGCAUGGAGAAACCCCAUCUUUACUAAAAACUCCAUCUUUACUAAAAAAUACAAAAUUGGCCAGGCAUGCGCCUAUAAUCCCAGCUACUCGGGAUGCUGAGGCAGGAGAAUUGCUUGAAUCCAGGAGGCAGAGGUUGCAGUGAGCCAAGAUCACGCCAUUGCACUUCAGCCUGGGCAACAAGAGUGAAACUCCGUUAAAAAAACAAAAACAAAAAAAACUCAAGCAUAGGCUCUAGUGACUUGUUUCAGCUAAUAUCACAGACCAAGGGUUUUCUGAUUCUCAACAGACUGGUGACCAUUUGGACAGACUUUGCUUUGGGUCACUGAUAAAAUGGGAUAAGAUUCUCUUAUCUUCUUUUUCUUUUUUUUUUUUCUUUUUUGUCCAGAGAAUUAGGCAUUCAUUCAGAAAGAGUAUUCUCAGAUUUUCUGCAUGCUGAGGUGUGAAGAUUGUCGUGUUCUUGUGGGGAAGUAGCCACCUAUCAUGCUGUAGAACCAGGCCUAAGGUACAUAAUCAUUACACUCCUCUCAGACAGUGCCAGCACUUAUUGGAUCGUCUAAAUUGAAAUCGUCUCCUUUCCAGGAAAGUCUCCUGCAUGUUAUAUGUACUCUGAUUACAAUCACAAUUCUAGUGUUUAGGUUUCUAAGUGGCAUAACUUCACCCGGAUAAUUUUUGCCUUCAGUGGCUACUAGGAGGAACAUUUCAGUUGAAAAGAAAACAAAAACUGUUAAUUUAAGAGAUGCAUUAGAAAAGAAAGAAAACAAAAUUUCUCAGGCCCAGUAAGCAGUAGUUUUUUAUUGGAAUGAAUCGUAUUUGUACAAUCUCCAAGGUUCUGAAUAAAAAAUUGUUUCAGUAAAAAUUUCCUUGAAUAAAGCCAUUGAACAAUUUGGCAAACUUAAGCAAUAUCCUCCCCCUCCUAUUCCUCUAGUUGCUGCCUUAUAUCUAACUCUUCUACUUCCCCUUUACCCUUCUAAUCUUUCUCUUUUUUUUUUUUUUUUUUUGAGACAGAGUCCUGCUCUGUCAUCAGGCUGGAGUGCAGUGGCACAAUUUCGGCUCACUGCAAUCUCUGCCUCCCGGGUUCAAGUGGUUCCCCUGCCUCAGCCUCCUGAGUAGCAGGGACUACAGGCACGCACCAUCACGCCCAGCUAAUUUUUUGUAUUUUAGUAAAGACGGGGUUUCACCAUGUUGGCCAGGAUGGUCUCAAUCUCCUGACCUCGUGAUCUGCCCACCUUGGCCUCCCAAAGUGCUGGGAUUACAGGCGUGAGCCACCGUACCCUGCCUAAUCUUUCUCCUUCUGCACCUCCUCCCUCUUCUAUCCUUUGCCCAGGCCCCCUUUAUUUUCCCAAAAAAUAUCCUAAAAUUCCAAAAUGCCAAUUACCUCUAAAGAUCUAUGCUUUCAAGAGCCAAGUAUGUAGGCAACUGUCAGAUGUAAACCUUGGACCCAGGAUGAAUUAACAGCUGCAACUAAAGAUUUCUCUAAACCCAAAUAAGACUAGCAUGUGUUCAUAGAGAAAUUUCGAAUUCUUUCAUAUGCAUAUGACCCAGAGUUAUGUGACUUACACCAUGUUAUGGUUUAAACCUUUGUCUUCUCCAAACUCAUGCUGAAAUCUAAUUGCCACUGUAACAAUAUUAAGAGGUGGAACCUUUAAGAGGCUUCAGAUCAUGAGGGCUCCACCCUCAUAGGUGGACUAAUGCUAUCAUCGCAAGAAUGGGUUCUUAUUCCCUCUUGCUGUCUCUUUGCUCUUCUACCAUUUGAUGGCUUCUGUCAUGUUAUGAUGCAGCGAGAAGGCCCUCACCAGAUGCUAGUAUCUUGGUAUUGGACUUCCCAGCCUCCAAACUACGAGCCAAUAAAUGUCUCUUCUUUGUAAAUUACCCAGCCUGUGGUAUUCUGUUAUAGAAGCACAAAACAGACUAAGACAUGCCACUUGUAUACAUGUUGGUGUGAACCUCAGAUGAUAAAUCCUGAAUGAUGAAAGGUGAUUAGACUGACCUGGAUAGGCAGCUACAGGGCACCUUUUUCCACAAUAAACCACAAUAAAACUAUAGGUCAAAAAGGCUAGGAAAUUAAGAUCAAGUCUCCUAAAAGCCAUACCUCAAAUGUUUUCAAUCAAAAUCCAUUCGAACAGAGUAGCUACAAUUAAAAGAAACAGAAGAACACAACAAGUGUUGUCAAGGAUGUGGAAAAAUUAGAAACAUGUGCCUUUUGAUAAGAAUGUAAAAUGAUGCAGCCACCAUGGUGGCUGUGCACCUGUGGUCUCAGCUACUCAGGAGGCUGAGGUAGGAGGAUCACUUGAACCUGGUAUUGGACUGUGGUAAGCUGAGAUUACACCACUGCACCACUCCAGCCUGAGUGCCAGAGGAAGACCUGCCUCAAAAAAUAAAA